rnacentral:rRNA from 1 species
AGCAGCCGCGGUAAUUCCAGCUCCAAUAGCGUAUAUUAAAGUUGUUGCAGUUAAAAGCUCGUAGUUGAAUUUCGGGGUUAGUAGGUUGGUCAUGCCACUGGUAUGUACUGGUCUCACUGAUUCCUCCUUCCUGAUGAGCCGUAAUGCCAUUAAUUUGGUGUUGCGAGGAAUCUGGACUGUUACUUUGAAAAAUUAGAGUGUUUAAAGCAAGCUAACGCUUGAAUACAUUAGCAUGGAAUAAUGAAAUAGGACGUUCGAUCCUAUUUUGUUGGUUUCUAGGAUUGACGUAAUGAUUAAUAGGGACAGUCGGGGGCAUCAGUAUUCAAUUGUCAGAGGUGAAAUUCUUGGAUUUAUUGAAGACUAACUACUGCGAAAGCAUUUGCCAAGGAUGUUUUCAUUAAUCAGUGAACGAAAGUUAGGGGAUCGAAGACGAUCAGAUACCGUCGUAGUCUUAACCAUAAACUAUGCCGACUAGGAAUCAGACGAUGUUAAUUUUUUAAUGACUCGUUUGGCACCUUACGGGAAACC